UCCGAGGAGCUAUUAAUCCAUAAUCCGUCAACAUUCAUCUUCAAAAGGCCUUUUCUCGGCAGCAUCCACCCCAUCGGGCGAGGGCUUUGUCCACUAUUGUACUUGGAUUUGGGUGGCGACCUUGAAAAACAUAGGAAUUUUGAGCUUUCCAUAUCAACCAAAGUAUACCAGCGAUCAAUUCUCUCGGAGCCUCGGUCCACUCGCACAAAAUGAAUAGACGUUCAACUGUUUCUAGAGCUUGUCGACAUAAUGGGCAAGUCUGAACAGGUAACUGCUUACGUUUAUGCAAAUUGUCCUUUAUGGGUAGUGCGUUUUAACACACACUUCACAAAAAGAAUAGUAUUUUAGGAGAAGAACGCAGCUGCCAAAUAGUAUUCCAUAGGACACGGGGAGGCUGAUAGGAUGAUGUAGCUUGUAUUGUGUUUGGUACUUUGCUGGUUGACUGAAUGAUAUUGUAUCCACUCUUGACCGUGAAGGAUCCAUCCUUGUUUCCUGUCUAGAUAAGCUGGUCCAUGCUCGAAUUGGAGUAUAGAAGGAUAGUUAAAAUUUCCUAUACCAUGCGUUCUUCAAAGAGCCCUUUCAACUUUUGUACGUUCCCGACCUUUGCUUCAUGAUCAAUAAGCUCCGUCACCAUUUUAGGAUCUUCCCUAUUCGCUGGGCCACCAAUAACACCAGCUGAAAGCCACUUGUCCUCGCGAAUAUCGAUACUCUUCCCAUCACCAACCACCCAUUUUAUAUUUUGGCUAAUUGCAUCUCUCCCCAAUAUCAAGCUUUGCCACCCCCAAGACGAACGAGA